UAUUUUGCGCAUUCGUGUUCAGUCAAAGAGAAAGACAAGAAAAUACAAUGUUUCAUGAUUCAUUAGCAAUUUUUGAGUAAAAUUUUCUGCUCAUGUUUUUUUUUAAAUACAGUCUUUAAAUGAGAAUAAAUCUCAGCACACAUUAACUCACAUGUUGAAAUGAAAAAUAUAGGAUCAUUUAAAGACACAAGGACGUUUUGUUUAUACAUGACAGAUGUGUAUGUUUAUUUUUUUCUCUUUCCUCAUUGGACCGUGAGCAAUGACAUCAUCAUUGCGAGAUCACAGGCACCUGUUCAUCAGUUCUGAAGUAGUUUUCUUGCAUAGAGCAGUAAGUAAAUAAUAAUAAUAAUAAUAAUAAUAUACACUACAAAACACUGAUUGAUUUUUUUUUUUUUUCAUUUUUAAAAACAGACAUUCAGUUACUUAUAUGAGUUAUAUACAAAGGAAGUGGUGUGAUUUUUUUUUCCCCUCCAGGUCGGAGCUUGACAAAUGAAUCCAAAUGAAAUCCAUUUCCCACUCAAUAGCUGUUAGUCCAUGUUUUCUUCCCUCUCUUUGUGUUACAUCUCUCUUCUUUUUUGGGCUCCAUCCAGAGGAAGAUUAUGGAUAUUUGUUCUUAUCACCGCCAACAUGAUAAAUUCUGUAGGACAUGAUGAACACAAUCUCUCUGUCUUCCUAUCUCCAGUUAUACAGGAUGUACUUAAGUUUAUCAGUUUAGACAGCUACUAGCCCCAAGACACUCUCACCUGCUCUGUGGAGGAUUUAGAGUGGCAAUACAAAUGACUUCCUCUCUGCGUUCAAAAAGUCUUAUAAAACUAUUUUCAUUUUGAUAAACAAUAAUUAGAAAAUGACCAAUCACAAAGUGGUUUUGCAGAUUAAAGAAAGACAGAAAGAAACUGAAUUUAAAAAGUAAGUCUGCUGAAGUUUCCUUUCUAGAUGCACGUGGCACACGCAACUCUGAAUCUGUGUUCACUGGAUUCACUCUUAAAAUAACAUGUGCACUUAGAACCAAUGAGAAUUUUGCAGUCUGAUGCCAUAGAAGAACCUUCUAAGUUCCUCAAAGAACAUUUAACUGUCUGGUGAAUCUUGCAAAGCCUGUCAUGUCUGGGUCAUAUUUGAUCUAAAUAAAGAAAUGUAGUCAUCAUGAUUUUUGUGUGAUUUCAAUGACAAUCAUGUGUUGCAAUGCAAUGCAAUGCAAGCAAUAAUAAUAAUAAUAAAAAAAAAACAUUUUUAUUAUUAAUACAUUAAAUAUUUAUCCAUUAUAUUUAUGUGUGCUGACUUUUUCAAAUCAUGCUGAUGUAAGUCUCAAAUCAUGCUGACGCUUAUUUAUCUAAAGUGGCUUACAAUAGAGGAACAAAAGCAUUUUGUCACAAUUACAGCAGUGAGAAUAAUGGGUAAGUGCAAAAAUAUUAAAGGUCCUAAAAAUAGGCUUAAUUUUUUUGAUGCAAAAUUUCAUUUCUUAAUUUUUCCCCUUGAUACUGAAGUUAAUGUGACCUGGAAAUGUUUUCCUGGCUUGUUUUAAUCUCCAAAUGACCAUGCAGCAACUCAAGAUCCAUAUACAGUUGUUGUACCUUAGAUGAACUUCAUCUUUGAAACUCUUGGGUUUUUCUUAAGGGUACUGGUGUGCUCAGUACAGGCCAGGACAUUUCUGGUCUCUAGUCUUCUGUGUUUAAAUGAUAAGCUGUGGUGUGCCGGAGGAGAUGUGUUCAGGCAAACGGCCUGUGGGGACACAAAGUGGGAAGUCAGCACUCAUACUCUUCUCCCAUCUCUACACAUGCUCACCCCUUACCAACCUAAAUACAGACACUCACAACAUAUUUAGACCUAAUUUUGAGAUUUAUACAUUCGAUUUGCAUUUAAAAUGAGGAUCACACAGUUUUAGCAUAAACAAUAAUAAGCAUAAUGUAACACAUAUUUGUCAGUCAAACAUAAAAGAAAUGGGUAAGAAACAAGCAAGAUUUCUGAACAAAAAAAGGCAUGGCAUUUUUUUUUUUUUUUUUGCAUCUAUUUGAUUUUAUUUAAAUAAUCAUAUUUAAAUAAAUAAAUAAAUAAUUUAGAAUCAGCAAAAAUCUCUUCAUUGUGAAAACAAAUACAUUUAUUCUGUUAAAAGGAAUGGCUUAAAUAAGGCUAACUGUGGAACAAGCAAUAUUCAAUUUGUUAAAAUUAAAGCAAAUCGUAUUUACUGAUAUUAAAUUUUAUAAACCUGGUUACUGUGUUUAAAACACAUACAGUUUAUUAGUAUUAUUAAAGAAAUCUUACCUGUGUCGUUUACAGUAUGAGUGACAAAUAUGCAUCACUUAGGUUUUUUAAUUUAUGUUAAAAUUGCAUGAUCCAAAUGGAUGGAAAUUUUAUAUGCAGUUCAAAUACACCUUAAAUUUAAGCCUAAAUAAAUAAAAUAACUUUAAGCCUAAAUGCAAAACUGCAGCUCAAGUUUGCUCUUAUUUCAACUGCAGCUGGAAACUGGACUGAAAUACACAUGCAUUAAGUCAUAUUUGUGUGUAUAAAUGCAUAUAAACAUGCAUUUAUCAUUCUGAAUUGGUAAUAUUGUUAGAGAGAGAACAAUAUACAGAACCAUUAAAGUGGCAGGUUAACGAGGUAUAUGUGUGAUGGAGGAUGAAGGUACAAAAUCAAUUUCACACUAGGCUGAGUUCCCGGGGAAGUCAGACAUUUUGAUUACUCUAUCAUGCUACUGAUAGCCUGCCCCUCAUAACACCCCCCCCCCACCCCUUAACACACCCACACUACUAGCGUCACAUUAACACAGAGACUGAGAGUGAGAAAUUAAUAUGCAGUAGUAUGCUAAUUUUUAACAACGACCCUGAAUGGCCUACCAUAUUUAAAAAUGUGCUGUAUACUGUACAACUGGAUACUGUAUCCCACAAUGAAAUAAUCAUAUUUUAGCAAAAUCCUGAGACUACUAAAUGUCUUUUGCUUAUGUAACCAUGCAAAAUAUUGAGGAUGCAUUAUCUGAUUUCUUUCUUGCUUUAGAUCGUGACUUAAUUUUCUAAUCACUCAUUAUUUCUUAAAGCAUUAGAUAGGCAUCUUUCAUCUAUCAUUAAAUAAGCAAACAGACAUUCCCAGUCCAUAUACAAUACCGGUCAAAAUUGUUAAUUAAUUAAAAG
ensembl:lncRNA